AUUUCCAAGACAUUCGAUAUGUCAAUGCACAACGUGAAAAGGCUGCCGGCGCAAGGAAAAGGGAAAAGACAAGCAGAUGAAUGAAACAUGCGUUAAUGAACAUGAUGAAGUGUUUCUGCAUUCGUAGCGGAGUCGUACUUUCAUUUUGUCGACCGAGCUCAUUUUUUCAUGCCUUUCUUUCUUUUUCUCCUGGACGCAGAGAAACAUAUUGUCCGCUAUCAGCGGUGAUGGUGCGCGGAGGACGAAUGCGAGCAUACAGCGAAGUCAAACAAAAGUACCUCAGAUGACGAUUCCUGAAACAGAACAGGAUGGACCUGCUAAAACCGAAUCCUGCAUCGGGUUAUCCAGACAGACUCAGUCUAUUCAGAUCACAUGAUGCUUCAUUUCAAUUUAGGUGAGCACAUGCUUAUAAUUAAUUUAUAUAUCAUUUAAUAUUGCAGCAAAUUUCCCGCCUCCCUGCAUUUGCCAAUAACUUCAGUAUCUCCAUUCUUGUGGAUGCAUAAAUGUAUAAUGAAAAAUAACAAAUUUAGUCUAACACAUUUUAAAGUUUUCAGAACAACCGAAUGUUCAAAUUCAAAUUGAAUAUACAUCUUUCAUAGACUAACAGCUUCCACAUCAGUGGCUGUUGCAAAGCUCUUACACUUUAACUUGCCAUCACAUUAAAUCUGAAAUGUGCAGAAAUGUCUGCUGCAGCACUUUGAAAAGAACUUCAGUAUCUACAAUACAAUCCGUGCCUUAUGUGCUGACUAGGAGGCCCUUGGGCUGAGCAGUGACUAUGGAAGUUUAUGAAUGGAAUGUGCUGGAAUUCACUUAAUGUUUACAGGUCAUUCAUGUGAAGUGGCAGACUGGGGUUUCUCCUUAGGAGCAGACAAUAGUGUUGCAGCAGGAAGUACAUAUCUCCCUAAAGAGCCUCAUGGCAUGCUCCCCCACCCUGAUGUAGAGCCACACACAAGAAAAUAAAAAACAGAGCAAAUUAGGAAGACUUAAUGGGGUGGUAGAUGCAUGUAUAUUUAGAAUUUUAUCACAUGAAUUGUUUAGUUUAAUCAAAGCAUGGCUUUUGGGAUUUAUGUCUUUACAAAGUGUCCGUUCGUGCAUUUAAUUUUCAGAGCCCAUUGUUGGUGCUGCCAAUAAAAAUACAAUAGUAAUGUAAAUCCAACAGAAUCAGCUGUCACUCUGGAAAUGAAAUAACUAAUUUUGACAUAAUUUUUAAACCCUAGAAUCCAAAGCACUUUAAGCUCAAUUUAAACCACAUAAUCAUAACUCUAACAUAGCAUAAACUACGCCAAGUUUAUAAGACAUAACAACACAGAGAUCCAUUCUAAAAGCACUUUUCUAUUAAGACCACUCUCGCAUGACACUUCACUGCUCACUAAAUGGACUUAACUGUUUCAAAAACACUCUCUUAGAAAAGAGUACUGUGUCCGUACCAUGGUACAGUUAUAGAUAGAUCUUGUCAUACUUUGAAAUAUGGGUCAAUGGUGUGAAGCAAAUUUUUUUUUUUUUUUUUUGCUACACUACUGUUUAGAUUUUCUUUUUCAAGUCUGUUUUGUUCACCAAGGCUGCAUUUAUAUUUUCAAAAAAAUACAGUAAAAUAGUAAUAGUAAUAUAUUUGUGAAAUAACAGUGAAAUAUUAAUAUAUUUUAAAAUGUAGUUUAUUCCUUUGAUGACAAAACUGAAUUCAAUGUCACAUGAUCCUUCAGAAAUCAUUCUUAUAUGCUGAUUUGGUGCUCAAGAAACACUUGUGGAAACAAAUAUAAGUUUUUUUUUUCCAGGAUUAUUUAAUGAAUAGAACAUUUAAAAAGAACAUAAUUUGUUUGGAAUAGAAUUCUUUAGCAACAAGAUCUUUGCUGAAACUUUUGAUUUAAUGCACCCUUGCUGAAUAAAAGUAUUUUUUAAAUAAAAUGAAUACAUUUUCAUUGUGAUAUGUUUAUGGUUGUUUAAGGUUAUAAAAUGUAAUCUGAUGUGAUGUUUCUAAGGUUUUUUAGAUGGCACGUCAUUUAAUAAUUUUUUCUAUCGCCAUAUUUAUUGGUAUUUUAAAAUUUUACCCCUAUACCAUGAUACUGAAUGAUCACCAUAUUAAUUUACUGUGCUUAUUUACAUUGUAAAUUUACAUUCCCAUUUGUAUAAUUUACCCUCACAUGUAUGUCCUUUUACCAUUCUGGAAACAAACAAACAGAUGCAAUUAGUCCAUCCUUGUUUUAUAAAAGCCAUCAGUGGUUCUCUGGCAUCAUGCAGUCACUGUCCCACAGUCUAAUCAGACCACUUACAGAGGGCCAAACACUCUGAGCAGGGACGGAGCAUUGGAAUUCAGGUUAGGAAUGAACUCCCUAAUGGAGAAAAACUGGAGUCAAGUGACCAUCAGCUGGUCGAAGUAUGUUUGAUCAAUACAGUCACAAGGUCUCAGGUAUGCAGAGCUGGAGCCUUUAAAGGAGGGGGCAAAGACAGCCUACAGUCUCUGCAUGCUCCUGUCACUCAAGCUUUAUUGUUAACCAGUACAAUAUUCUUUUACGUAAAUGGCCUCACACUCUCGGCAUCCUUGCCAACAGGAAGUAUUUAGCACUUUAUGUGAGUCACUCUCUUUUGUUUGUCUAGCUGAAGAUGAUUUAAUUAGUCACCGGCCCAAUCAAAGUGCACCUUUGGUGGCAAACAAGCACCCACUUUUAAUUAAUAAGACUUUAGUUGAGUGCUCUGAAUGAUGUAGCCUAAUGCGUGCCAAACCACUAAGUGGAUUCGGGAAAUAAUAGUCGCAGAGCCAGGCUUACAUUUUCAUGAUAUCUGACAGACUAUAACACAAUACUCUGGUCAAACAAAGGUUUAUGGUACUGUUUGUCAUGAGAAAAAAAGCAAAAAGCAGGUCUGGGUAGGGUAAAAGGGUGUGAUGAGCACCUUUAAAGCGCGUCGGAGCCGUGGCCUCUGUCUGCCUGCCUCCAGGCUAAUGGGAAAGAAUGAGAAAUAUUUGCGCCAUGCUUAAAAAUGCCCACGGGAGAUUAUCUCCCCCUCCCCGGUGCUGCCUGUCUGUGUGCUGCAAGCAAAAAGGAGGGCUGUUGUCGUCCUCCGGAGCUGCAGACGCUUUGAUAUGGGGUUGUCUAACCAUUCUUUGUCUCUGUCUUCCUCAGGCACUGGGGACAGCUCAAGUGGACGGCUGCUGCCGCUGGCUUGUUAGGGUGCUCAUGAGGUGCUCAGUAGUCAGUGUAGAUCCUGUGUUGCAAUCAGCAGCUACAUCUGGCUACUGGGUCUCUGAUGGCAUUUUCUGCUUCCUGUUGGCACAUUCCUUUCAGAUUGUGUGGUAUGUUAUCACAAUGUGUGCCUCAUCCUGUCAGAACAGGACUUUCAUGAAGAUGGCCCUUGUCACAACAGCUGGUCUCUUCGAUCAGACUGAUUUGGUGGUGUUUCUGCCCCUUUAGCCUAGUUAAUUUAUUUCUUUUUUCCUCGAAUGUUUUUUUUUUAUCAAGGUGAGUGAACUGUCAAAGUGUAGCUUGUCUCUAGAAACCAUUUCAGAGAUCUUUGAAGGAAGGAGCGAGACAUUGUUUCUCGUUUGACUGCUGAAGAUUCAGUUUAAGUGAUUAGGUAACAAAGGACAAGGCAACAUGUCACAUUCUCUUUGUGAUUUGCCUGUCACAAGGGGCUGUCUUUGUGCAAAUGUUUUUGAGUUGUUGAAGGCUGACAAAUAAUGAGAGUUAGACAUGCUGAAUCGCAUUGCUUUUGGAGAGCGAAGGAUGAAUUCUUUUGUGCUGUCAUGAACCUGGCAUACAAUGUAGAUUUCUGUGUGGUACUAUCUACAGCUACAUUGUCUGCUGGGUUUCAGGCCAGCAGAGAAAUUCUGCUCUGCUUAGAAAUUGAAAAGGUGAGUUGUUAAGUCAUUAUGCAUGCUUGAAAAAGACUUUUUCCUACCAUGAGAAUAAAAUAUAAUCAAAAAGCUGAAAGCAUAAAAACUAUGAUGUCCAAUUAUUUCUCCUCAUGUUUAUUCUUACUAUGGGUUCAGCUUGAUGUUCGGAAGGCUGCACGGAUUCUGUCCAAUGACAGACUGUCAGAUUUCACCAGGGAUUAAAAAGGCAUCCAAGAUAUUUCAGCCGUACACCCAGAAGAGCUUCUUAUCACUAUUACCCAUCUGCGUCUAAAUACAACCACCCACAACACACACAAUGAAAGUUAGAAGAAAAUUCAGCAUUCAUGCAAUAUAAAAUCACGUUCUGAAAAUUACCUAUAUUGCGUACCGUUAUGUCUUUUGGGAUUCGAUGCAUAGAAAAACUAAUGAAGAACUGAAGAAAGCCUGAAGCCCCCCAGAGAACUCAGUUCAUUAUGUCUUCACACAAUCUGACUUCAAUAUUGAGAGAAAUACCUUGCAGGAAUGUUGAAGCACAUCUCUCACAGUCCUCACUUUGUGUUAUGUGUCUUUUCAAAAUGCAUUAAUACAACAUAUUCCAUAUUGCUGCAUAAUAGAAAAGUUUUUGACACUGCGUGAAAAUACAAUUUUACAAAAUCCCUGUUACAUUUCAAAGAGCACUUGUAGUAUGCUAGGUUAGGUUUUUAGAAGUUGAACCACAUUCCAAAAGUUCCAUUCCAAAAACCAUUUGAAAUUCCUUUUGUUGUCCCUGUGUGUUUGAAACAACCACUUUGAACACUUUGUUUGUUCACACUGAAUGCAAGUAAAUGCUUUUAUCAAAACAACUUAAGGAACAUCACAAAAGAAUUGGUCAUACAAGAGCUUAGUAUAUUCACAAUGCCAAAUUUCCACAGUAAACUAUAGUGCGGAAGCGAACAUAAUGAGAGAGUUUUGGGAGCAGUGACAUUUCUACCAGGCAGGACAAAUUCAACAAAAUGUCCUGGUUAGGUCAUGGUAAGGCUCAAUCACACUUAGACUUUGAGCACAAUUCACUUCCAUCAAUAUGCAUGUGAGUCUGAAAGCAAAAAUACAAGCACAUGUGAAGAAGUUUUGCAAACUUGUACCAAGCUUGAUAAACUCUGAUCUAUAAAUUUGCAUAAAGUUGUUUGACCUCUUGGUUCAAAUAAAAAAAGAACUCUCAGAGCUGUAUAUUGUUUGCAAAGUUCCUGGUAAAUGGUACAAGUGUAUUUAAAAAAAAAAAACGUUAAAUACUAAUUUUUAUUUUAUAUUUAUUUAAAAACAUUUAAUUAGCAUACUUAGCAUAAUGCUGAUAUUCACGAUGUAACGUCACAUGCUCAAAGCCUAAGGUGACUUUUAGGCAGUAACAAAAGGAAGAACAGAGAAAUGAAAGUGGAGGGGGGUCUGAAUGCAGCGGGCCAUUAUGGCAGACUGGCACAGGUGUUUCCAAUGAUGCCAUUUCCCCUUGCACUACUGUUUGUACAACAGGAAUAUGGAGGCAGGUGGUCAUUAGCCUCUGUAUGCGCUCUAUACUGCAGGCCAGUGGAUACUGGAAUCACUUCAAUAAAACAACAGGAACAGGGAAAACAGACUCGAGCUGCUCCAGGAACAGCCACUUCCCAUCUGUCUGCUCACCCCAACAGACACAACCGUCAUGUGACUGUAUUCCCUUCAUGAAGCACUAAACUCA